rnacentral:misc_RNA from 1 species
CAAUUUUCAUCCAUCAGCAAGUGCUUCGCUGGACUCGAAUUUUCUUCACAGCACCAACAAUGCUACUCUCCGCCAUUGGUCUGCAGACUCCUCUCUCUAACCCCAAUCACGCUUCCACUGCCACUGCUUCUACCUCUGCAAACCCUCUGUUCUCCUCCGCUAAUUCCCUGAAACCGCACCCUUCCAGCACCGCCACCACCACCACCACCGGCAGUAGCUGCUUCUCUUCCCUAAGACCGCUUCAUCUCCUCGCCACCAACGCUUCCACUUCUUCAACCUCUUCGCUUACCACCAACACUGCUAACAACGUCAGCAGCAGUGAGCCUUCUCUUCAAAAUCCUAACUUGCUCCAUCACGUGACUCGCGCGCUUCCCGAUGAUGAACCAGAAGGAGCAGCGGAGCUGGUGUCCUCCGCCUCCGCGGUUGCUUCUGCCAUUCGCAGAGGCUCCAAUUCUCCUGUGGAGUUUGUGCAGCGUAUUGAGAAGGCUGAAAAGAGCGAGUUGGUGUUUCCGAGUCUGGACUUUCAGAGACUUUGCGUCGAACAGUUGGACCUCUUUCGCAGAAUCGUCGAUCCCAAUGCUACUCUUUCGGUUUAUGUGAGGCCUGCGGGAAGUUACGUUAUGGACCGUCUAGAGCUGCGUAGAAUAAUAUCUUAUCCAGGAGUAAAUGCAUCAGAUAUUGUAAUAUUAGUUGGUACCUUCAAUAUUCCCACUGGUUUACGCGCUGCUGAAGCUGCACUCUCCAAUCAACAAGUAGAAUUUAUGACUGAGCAUAAGGCUUUUGUGUUUCCAAUGGUGAAACACCCAUUUGUUGUUGGAUUCUUGGUUGCUGAGUUACCAAUGAUGGAAAUGAACAAAUCAUGUGGGAAUGCACGGACUGAGGGUCAUGAUUUGAUUCACUUGCCAUCUCCAGAGGAAGCCUAUGCUUUGCCUUCAAGCUCAGAUGAGAAAUCAUGGGGAAUUCAGACUUUAGAUGAUCAGCCAUUGAGAGUAUAUAACUUCACUGCUGAGCAGAGAUUGAAUGCUAUUAAUAUCUCUCGCUCUCUGGCUAUGGCGUAUGUUAUGGAUCAGAAAGCAAUGUUACUCCAACAAUCAUCUUGGCAAAAUAAUGUUAGAAUGAGUAAUCUAGUUGAACAGAUCCGUGGUCCUCUUUCUAGCAUUCGAACUUUGAGUAAAAUGUUGUCCACCCACUUGAAGAGAAGUGAGAUUUCUUAUGACAUUAUUGAAGACAUACUGGUACAGGGUGAACAAAUGAAAGAUGCUCUUCAAGAACUCCAGGAUGCUGUUUACUUGACAAAGGCCAAUAUAAUGCUCUAUAAUGAAAAGGCAUUGAAGAAAAUUCACAAGUCCACUUAUCACAAUGAUGAGUCAUUGAGGUCUCGCUUAUCAGAUAGCUUUCCUAGAGACACAGGCAACAGUAAUAAUUUGCAAAAUUCCAGUGAAUCUUCUUCGCUAAAUGCUGCAACCAGGGACUUAGAGAUGCCCAUGCCACCUUUGGCACUUACUUCCUUACAACAACAUGUAAUAAGACCUUGCAAUGUUUCUGAGGUGCUGUCAGAUUUGGUUGAGGCAGUGCAACCUCUUGCCUGCAAUCAGCAACGCAGUGUAGAGCUCACUGAAAUCUGUCAAUCUUUGCAAGUUGCUGUGGAAGAGCCAGCUUUGCGCCAGGCUUUGAGCAAUUUAAUUGAAGGCGCAUUGUUGCGUACGCAUGUUAAGGGUAAGGUUGAAAUUGUGUCUACUGAAGCACCUGCAGGUGGUGGUGCCCUUGUAGUUAUUGAUGAUGAUGGCCCUGAUAUGCACUAUAUGGUAAGCAUGCCAAUGCUUUCAAGCAACUAGCUUUUGCUUAUUCAAGUUAGCUGUUGGAAUCCCUAAAUUUUCUUUACUCAUUCACCAGUCACCACAUGCAUAGCACACCCAUAGUUAAAUCGCAUCUUUGUGCAAUAUGGGAAAUGUGAUGCUUUCGCAUACCAAACAUCAAGUGAACAUAGUUUCAUCAUAUGAGAAAGUUAGGGGAAAAGAAAGAUAGAAAUGGCAUUAGUGAGAAUCAUAAAUUGAUCAGACCAAUUAUCUGAAGUAUCAUCUGUGGUGUCUUUUUGUGACGGUUUGGCCUGAAGAAAUAAACUUUUCAGAAUAAGAGGUUCAAAUUAGAUUGAAGGAAUAGGAAAACAAUUUUUUGGUAUCAGUUAGGAUUUGAGCCUGUUAGGAGGUGUUAAUUAUUAAAUUUUAUCCAUUUUCAUAAUCUAUAGCUUUUGAGGCUUUUGUUAUGAAUUUAUGAUCCUAAAUGUGUUCCAUUGUGCAGUAAAUGUUUUAUCUUUGCAAUAUUACAGCUUGGGAAGCUUGCCUAAUUGGCUUUUGGGUUUAGUAGUAACUUGUUUGUGCCAAAAAUUUUCUUGAAUACUUAAAUACAAAAAUUUAUUCUUAUUUUUGUAAUUUUCUAUUAGUUAUGUACUUGCAUUACAACUACCAUUUCUCAGGUUUUUAAAUUAUUAUUAUUAUUAUAGACUUAAAUGAACUAAGUGUUCUUAUGCUUGGACUAGGCCUUGGGGUAAAUCUUUUCCUUGGAUCCAUGGAUGCACCAUAAGAUAUUAUAUGGUUGUUAAAUAGUUGCCUCCUUAC